rnacentral:rRNA from 1 species
GGGCCCGCACAAGCGGUGGAGUAUGUGGUUUAAUUCGAUGCAACGCGAAGAACCUUACCAGGGCUUGACAUCCUGCGAACCUCUGGGAAACCGGAGGGUGCCUUCGGGAACGCAGUGACAGGUGGUGCAUGGCUGUCGUCAGCUCGUGUCGUGAGAUGUUGGGUUAAGUCCCGCAACGAGCGCAACCCACGUCUUUAGUUGCCAGCAUUUAGUUGGGCACUCUAGAGAGACCGCCGGUGACAAACCGGAGGAAGGUGUGGAUGACGUCAAGUCAUCAUGCCCCUUACGUCCUGGGCUACACACGUACUACAAUGCUACGGACAAAGGGCAGCAAGUUCGCGAGGACAAGCAAAUCCCAUAAACCGUGGCUCAGUUCAGAUCGUAGGCUGCAACUCGCCUACGUG